rnacentral:rRNA from 7 species
UGCUGGAUCAUUACCCACGUGAU